rfam:Triticum aestivum genome assembly, contig: Triticum_aestivum_CS42_TGACv1_scaffold_423289_5BS
AUUCUACUCCCUCCGUUGCACAAUACAUGCCUUCUAUUUGUCAAAAUAUAUAUGUAUCUAGACAUGUUUUAGUAUAUAGGCACAUCCAUUUUUGGGCAAAUGGAAGUCAAGUAUUUUGGAACGGAGGGAGUACACA